GAAAUCCAGCUAGUCCUGUCUCUCAUAACCUCCUGGGCUCCUGUUUGCCCCUCUCCCUCCAGCUCCUUUGUUCUUGGUGGCCUCUGACUGGGGCCAACACUACAAGCAAGGUCAAGCGCAGUGUGAACGAGCUCUAUGUCGAUGACCCAGACAAGGACAGCGGUGGCAAGAUCGACGUCAGUCUGAACAUCAGUUUGCCCCAUCUGCACUGCGAGUUGGUCGGGCUCGACAUUCAGGAUGAGAUGGGCAGGCACGAAGUGGGCCACAUCGACAACUCCAUGAAGAUCCCGCUGAACAAUGGGGCAGGCUGCCGCUUCGAGGGGCAGUUCAGCAUCAACAAGGUCCCCGGCAACUUCCACGUGUCCACACACAGUGCCACGGCCCAGCCACAGAACCCAGACAUGACGCAUGUCAUCCACAAGCUCUCCUUUGGGGACACGCUACAGGUCCAGAACAUCCACGGAGCUUUCAAUGCUCUCGGGGGAGCAGACAGACUCACCU
rnacentral:sRNA from 1 species